rnacentral:rRNA from 1 species
ACUAAGCGUACACGGUGGAUGCCCUGGCAGUCAGAGGCGAUGAAGGGCGUGCUAAUCUGCGAUAAGCGCCGGUAAGGUGAUAUGAACCGUUAUAACCGGCGAUACCCGAAUGGGGAAACCCAGUGUGAUUCGUCACACUAUCAUUAACUGAAUCCAUAGGUUAAUGAGGCGAACCGGGGGAACUGAAACAUCUAAGUACCCCGAGGAAAAGAAAUCAACCGAGAUUCCCCCAGUAGCGGCGAGCGAACGGGGAGGAGCCCAGAGCCUGAAUCAGCAUGUGUGUUAGUGGAAGCGUCUGGAAAGGCGCGCGAUACAGGGUGACAGCCCCGUACACAAAAGCGCAUGUGCUGUGAGCUCGAUGAGUAGGGCGGGACACGUGGUAUCCUGUCUGAAUAUGGGGGGACCAUCCUCCAAGGCUAAAUACUCCUGACUGACCGAUAGUGAACCAGUACCGUGAGGGAAAGGCGAAAAGAACCCCGGCGAGGGGAGUGAAAAAGAACCUGAAACCGUGUACGUACAAGCAGUGGGAGCACAGGUUUACCUGUGUGACUGCGUACCUUUUGUAUAAUGGGUCAGCGACUUAUAUUCUGUAGCAAGGUUAACCGAAUAGGGGAGCCGGAGGGAAACCGAGUCUUAAUUGGGCGUUAAGUUGCAGGGUAUAGACCCGAAACCCGGUGAUCUAGCCAUGGGCAGGUUGAAGGUUGGGUAACACUAACUGGAGGACCGAACCGACUAAUGUUGAAAAAUUAGCGGAUGACCUGUGGCUGGGGGUGAAAGGCCAAUCAAACCGGGAGAUAGCUGGUUCUCCCCGAAAGCUAUUUAGGUAGCGCCUCGUGAACUCAUCUCCGGGGGUAGAGCACUGUUUCGGCUAGGGGGCCAUCCCGGCUUACCAACCCGAUGCAAACUGCGAAUACCGGAGAAUGUUAUCACGGGAGACACACGGCGGGUGCUAACGUCCGUCGUGAAGAGGGAAACAACCCAGACCGCCAGCUAAGGUCCCAAAGUCAUGGUUAAGUGGGAAACGAUGUGGGAAGGCCCAGACAGCCAGGAUGUUGGCUUAGAAGCAGCCAUCAUUUAAAGAAAGCGUAAUAGCUCACUGGUCGAGUCGGCCUGCGCGGAAGAUGUAACGGGGCUAAACCAUGCACCGAAGCUGCGGCAGCGACGCUGAUGCGUUGUUGGGUAGGGGAGCGUUCUGUAAGCCUGUGAAGGUGGCCUGUGAGGGUUGCUGGAGGUAUCAGAAGUGCGAAUGCUGACAUAAGUAACGAUAAAGCGGGUGAAAAGCCCGCUCGCCGGAAGACCAAGGGUUCCUGUCCAACGUUAAUCGGGGCAGGGUGAGUCGACCCCUAAGGCGAGGCCGAAAGGCGUAGUCGAUGGGAAACGGGUUAAUAUUCCCGUACUUGGUGUUACUGCGAAGGGGGGACGGAGAAGGCUAUGUUGGCCGGGCGACGGUUGUCCCGGUUUAAGCGUGUAGGUGUGUGUUCCAGGUAAAUCCGGUUCACUUUAACACUGAGGCGUGACGACGAGGCACUACGGUGCUGAAGCAACAAAUGCCCUGCUUCCAGGAAAAGCCUCUAAGCAUCAGGUAACAUCAAAUCGUACCCCAAACCGACACAGGUGGUCAGGUAGAGAAUACCAAGGCGCUUGAGAGAACUCGGGUGAAGGAACUAGGCAAAAUGGUGCCGUAACUUCGGGAGAAGGCACGCUGACACGUAGGUGAAGUGAUUUACUCAUGGAGCUGAAGUCAGUCGAAGAUACCAGCUGGCUGCAACUGUUUAUUAAAAACACAGCACUGUGCAAACACGAAAGUGGACGUAUACGGUGUGACGCCUGCCCGGUGCCGGAAGGUUAAUUGAUGGGGUCAGCGCAAGCGAAGCUCCUGAUCGAAGCCCCGGUAAACGGCGGCCGUAACUAUAACGGUCCUAAGGUAGCGAAAUUCCUUGUCGGGUAAGUUCCGACCUGCACGAAUGGCGUAAUGAUGGCCAGGCUGUCUCCACCCGAGACUCAGUGAAAUUGAACUCGCUGUGAAGAUGCAGUGUACCCGCGGCAAGACGGAAAGACCCCGUGAACCUUUACUAUAGCUUGACACUGAACAUUGAGCCUUGAUGUGUAGGAUAGGUGGGAGGCUUUGAAGUGUGGACGCCAGUCUGCAUGGAGCCGACCUUGAAAUACCACCCUUUAAUGUUUGAUGUUCUAACGUGGACCCGUUACCCGGGUUGCGGACAGUGUCUGGUGGGUAGUUUGACUGGGGCGGUCUCCUCCUAAAGAGUAACGGAGGAGCACGAAGGUUGGCUAAUCCUGGUCGGACAUCAGGAGGUUAGUGCAAUGGCAUAAGCCAGCUUGACUGCGAGCGUGACGGCGCGAGCAGGUGCGAAAGCAGGUCAUAGUGAUCCGGUGGUUCUGAAUGGAAGGGCCAUCGCUCAACGGAUAAAAGGUACUCCGGGGAUAACAGGCUGAUACCGCCCAAGAGUUCAUAUCGACGGCGGUGUUUGGCACCUCGAUGUCGGCUCAUCACAUCCUGGGGCUGAAGUAGGUCCCAAGGGUAUGGCUGUUCGCCAUUUAAAGUGGUACGCGAGCUGGGUUUAGAACGUCGUGAGACAGUUCGGUCCCUAUCUGCCGUGGGCGCUGGAGAACUGAGGGGGGCUGCUCCUAGUACGAGAGGACCGGAGUGGACGCAUCACUGGUGUUCGGGUUGUCAUGCCAAUGGCACUGCCCGGUAGCUAAAUGCGGAAGAGAUAAGUGCUGAAAGCAUCUAAGCACGAAACUUGCCCCGAGAUGAGUUCUCCCUGAGACUUAGAGUCUCCUGAAGGAACGUUGAAGACGACGACGUUGAUAGGCCGGGUGUGUAAGCGCAGCGAUGCGUUGAGCUAACCGGUACUAAUGAACCGUGAGGCUUAACC